UUUUUUGGGGAGGCACAUCUAUUAAAAGAUAACACGAGUGUCCUAAGAUGAGUUCAACGAGAACAAAAAUCUCAUGUGGAACAAAAGGGUAAAAGCUCAUUUUUCCAAUUACUCUAUCUACCUUCACUCCAAAGAAACAUUUGGAUGGUUUAUCAUAUAUUUGUUUCUCCUUUAGUAGUUGUAU
rnacentral:ncRNA from 1 species